AAAAUUUGAAUGUUUUUGAGGAUUAAGUAAAGUAAUACAUUUAAGACACUUAUCCUGGUGGCAAGAAAUAGUAAAUGCUCGAUAAAUAUUAGCUAAAAGUAUAUAUGCCGAUAUACAUGGGUUAAUACAGAUACUACGAUGGAGUAUUAGAUAAAGUUCUAGCUCACUGCAGCCUUCACCUUCCAGACUCAAGCGAUUCUUCUGCCUCAGCCUCUCAAGCAGCUGGGACCACAGAUGUGUGCCACCACACAUGGCUAUGUUGCCCAGGCAGGUCUUAAACUCCUGGACUCAAGCAGUCCUCUCCCCUUGGCCUCCCAAAGUGCUGCGAUUACAGGUGUGAGCCACUGUUCCAGCCCUGAGGUUCUUGAUAGUCUAGGUAGAGAGGAAAAUUAAAGAAGUUAUGUGGAAAACAUACAUUCUUUAGGAGAGUUUUUCCUGGCACCAAAUAAAUAUUCAUCCCACAGAGUUAGAGGGAUAUUGAGUACUGGACUUGAUUAUGUCCUUGACCCCAGUACUAAAUUUGUGAACUUGGACAAGUUAUUUAACCUAUCAUGUAUAAAUGUAUUAACAUACUGUAUGUUUACUUUUAGUCACUUUUGAGAUUGAUAAAAAGUGCUGAAUAAAGUGUUUUGGGAAGUGCCUUUUUCAUUCAAUCCUGUACACCUAAAACUUGUUUAUAACAACUAGUUUAUUCAUAUUCAUCUCUGUAAUAUUCCAUUGUGUGAUUAUAUCACAAUUCAUCCUUUCUCCUGUCAAUGGGCAUUUAGGUUGCUUCCAGGGUUUUCGCUAUUGCAAAUGGCUGUGGUAUAAAAAUUCCUGUAUAGCUCUCCUGACACUCAAGCGUACUUCCCCUCCAAUAACCUGGAUUGUAGAUUCUAGCUGUUUCAGCAGCCGGAAACCUCCACUCCGCCUCCUCAGUUCAGCAAUACCACCAUUCUGAGCCGCAUUCCUUGCACCAUGGUUGGGAAUGUCCUCCCAUGGAGACAGACAUGGUGAACCUGGGAUUCACCUUGUGUAUUUCCUUUCUUUUAGAUAUCAGUCUGCUUUGACUAGUAUCCAAUUCCUGAAAACAGUUGCUUCAUAUAUUUUGUCCAGCAUUAACUGUUGUUUGGGGUAGCAAGAUAAGUCCACUUAAAAUUAUAGCCGGAAGUGGAAGUCUAUUCAUCCCUAUUUUCUAUUCAAAUAUUUAGUUUUGUUUCGGUUAGUUAAUUCUUAAUACAGCUGUGGUUUAUUUGCUCAAACCAAAAGCCCAAGAGAAAUUUCAUUUAAAGGUAAUUUGAAGGAUACAAUAUCUUAGAUAUUCUUCAAGAUGCACUUAUCACAUCACAGUUUCAUAAUGCUCAACACUUCUUAAAGUGCUUUCACAUGGAAUAAUUUUCACGUACCUAAACUAUUGGCCUAUUAGGUAUCUGGCUUUCUGGUGAGGUACUUGUCAUGUUUUCCAUUGAAUUAUAUAUGGAUUUUUUUCCCAAUUAUGUCCAGAAAUGAAAUAUAUUCCAAGAUCCCUAUGAGAAACUUAAGAAAUAAAGAAACUCCCAUUUA
rnacentral:lncRNA from 10 species